rnacentral:rRNA from 1 species
CGGGGACGCUGAGACAGGUGGUGCAUGGCUGUCGUCAGCUCGUGUCGUGAGAUGUUGGGUUAAGUCCCGCAACGAGCGCAACCCUUGUCAUUAGUUGCCAUCAUUAAGUUGGGCACUCUAAUGAGACUGCCGGUGACAAACCGGAGGAAGGUGGGGAUGACGUCAAGUCAUCAUGCCCCUUAUGACCUGGGCUACACACGUGCUACAAUGGACGGUACAACGAGAAGCGAACCUGCGAAGGCAAGCGGAUCUCUUAAAGCCGUUCUCAGUUCGGACUGUAGGCUGCAACUCGCCUACACGAAGCUGGAAUCGCUAGUAAUCGCGGAUCAGCACGCCGCGGUGAAUACGUUCCCGGGCCUUGUACACACCGCCCGUCACACCAUGAGAGUCUGUAACACCCAAAGCCGGUGGGAUAACCUUUAUAGGAGUCAGCCGUCUAAGGUAGGACAGAUGAUUAGGGUGAAGUCGUAACAAGGUAGCCGU